rnacentral:rRNA from 1 species
UAAAAUUAAAAAAUUUGGCGGUAUUUUAGUCUUUUCAUAGGAACCUGUUCUAUAAUUGAUAGCCCACGAUUAAAUAUACUUAUUUUAUUAAUUUAUAUAUCGUCGUAGUUUGAAUAUUUUAACAGAAUUUAUAAUAUUCAAAAUUUAAAAUUAUAAAAUAAAUCAGAUCAAGGUGUAGUUUAUAAAUAAGAAGAAAUGGGUUACAAUUAAUUUAUUAUUUGGAUAAAGUUUUAUAAAAAUUUUUGAAAUUGGAUUUGAAAGUAAUUAAAUUUAUAUAAUUUUAAUGAUUUAAGCUCUAAAAUAUGUACAUAUUGCCCGUCGCUUUUGUUUUAAAAUGAAAUAAGUCGUAACAAAGUAGAUUUACUGGAAAGUGAAUCUGGAAUA